rnacentral:tRNA from 1 species
GCCGGAUUAGCUCAGUUGGCAGAGCAGUUCAUUCGUAAUGAAAAGGUCACCAGUUCGAAUCCGGUAUCCGGCACUA